rnacentral:rRNA from 1 species
AUUGAACGCUGGCGGCAGGCCUAACACAUGCAAGUCGAACGAGUGGCGGACAGGUGAGAAAUGUCUGUAAAACUCCCUGAUUUAACGGGAUAACUACUUUAAACGGUAGCUAAUACCACAUACCAGGUGAUGGGCCCGGAUGGGAUUAGCUUGUUGGUGGGGUAACGGCUCACCAAGGCGACGAUCGCUAGCUGGGCUGAGAGGAUGACCCGCCACACUGGAACUGAGACACGGUCCAGACUCCUACGGGAGGCAGCAGUGGGGAAUAUUGCACAAUGGGCGCAAGCCUGAUGCAGCCAUGCCGCGUGUGUGAAGAAGGCCUUCGGGUUGUAAAGUACUUUCAGCGGGGAGGCGUUACCCGCAGAAGAAGCACCGGCUAACUCCGUGCCAGCAGCCGCGGUAAUUC